rnacentral:rRNA from 1 species
CCUACGGGAGGCAGCAGUGAGGAAUAUUGGUCAAUGGGCGGAAGCCUGAACCAGCCAAGUCGCGUGAGGGAAUAAGGCCCUACGGGUCGUAAACCUCUUUUGCCGGGGAGCAAGGGCCGGGACGCGUCCCGGCCCGGAGAGUACCCGGAGAAAAAGCAUCGGCUAACUCCGUGCCAGCAGCAGAGGUAAUACGGAGGAUGAGAGCGUUAUCCGGUUUUAUUGGGGUUAAAGGGUGGGGGGGGGGAAGAGCAAGUCAGCGGUAAAAUUGAGAGGCUCAACCCCUUCGAGCCGUUGAGACUGGUUUUCUUGAGGGAACGAGAGGUAUGCGGAAUUCGUGGUGUAGCGGUGAAAUGCAUAGAUAUCACGCAGAACUCCGAUUGCGAAGGCAGCAUACCGGCGCUCAACUGACGCUCAUGCACGAAAGUGUGGGUAUCGAACAGGAUUAGAUACCCUUGUAGUC